GAGAGCCGACAAGGAAUUCCAUUAAUAACUGGCCGUUUUGAUCCUUUGGAACAACUCGAUGAAUUUAGUAGAUCGUUUUAGGAGGCCCUAAUGACUAUAGAUCGAACCUAUCCAAUUUUUACAGUACGAUGGUUGGCUGUUCACGGCCUAGCUGUACCUACCGUCUUUUUUUUGGGAUCAAUAUCAGCAAUGCAGUUCAUCCAACGAUAAACUUAAUCCGAAUUAUAGAGCUACGACACAAUCAAACCCGAACGAACAAAAUGUUGAAUUGAAUCGUACCAGUCUCUACUGGGGGUUAUUACUCAUUUUUGUACUUGCUGUUUUAUUUUCCAAUUAUUUCUUCAAUUAAGAAAAAGAAAGAGAAUAAAUAAGAUUCUCUUAGCUCAUUCGGAAGGAUCUCAUAAUUUAAUUAUCCAUGACUGUUUAUGUCUCUAGCAUGACCACUUGAUGAAAUCUGGAGGGAAGUGGGGUAAAUGGCCGAUACUACUGGAAGGAUUCCUCUUUGGAUAAUAGGUACUGUAGCUGGUAUUCUUGUAAUCGGUUUAAUAGGUAUUUUCUUUUAUGGUUCAUAUUCCGGAUUGGGUUCAUCCCUGUAGUAAUCGAAUGAAUUGAGUUAUCAACAUGAAAGCGUAAGAACUCAACGGGAUUCCCUUCCUUGUUUGUUUGAUUCGAAGGGGAAGGGCCCGUUGAGUUCUUAAGAAUCAUACUAUUUUUUUCGUCUAAAUGAUAAAAUGAAAUAAUAAAAUGGAUUUCUUUUUCUUUUCAAAAACUCCAUUUUUCUCAUUUUUCUGAUCAUGUUUUUUAAAAAUUCACUUCAUUGAUUUAUUCAGACCACCUCUUCUUUUUAUAUGAUAGUAUCUAUUUGUAUAAGAUAAGUUGAUUGAAGAAGUUUUAUUUAAUUAAUAAAAUUUCCUCUCUUUUUUUGUUUUGUUUGUCCACCACUCCAUAUAUUAUACGUAAAGGGGGCGUAGGGUAACGGGUUUCUGAUACAUCUGGAAAAAUCGAAACCAAGACUAGGAAUUUUUAACAAACAGGAUCAAGAAUCAUUACUCUUUCGUUUCGACACAAGAAAAAAGGAUUUUUCUACACCCCUUUCUUGUGUCGAAGACUGGGAAGACAAAUAAUCCCUUCUAGGAUUUUUUCUUCCACGCAUUUAUCCCCCGCUUCCUUAUGUCUAGUAUUUAGACAAAUUUUACUUUCUUUCUAUUUAGAAUAGAAAACUAUUGAUACGUCUUAUGUCUUAUGGCAGUGAAAUCUAUCAAUAGUAACAUAGUCCUACUACUCCAAUAAAAAAAACUAAAUCAAAAUAAUGAAAGUCAAAUACUCUUCUUUAAAUUCUACAUUACAUACUCUUUUUCUACGAGAUGCUGGGAAUCCCUUGUACCACAUAGUAUGUAGAUUUUGAAGAAGAGUAUAAAUAAGACAAAGGAGUUUUCAGAAUUUAAUUUUUUUUUUAUUUUUUUGAUCAUAAAUAAUCGCCAACAAGAAUUUGGUUCUUUUUACGAACUUGAUAUCGAUAAAUCUGCGAAUCUAGAAAUUCAUUUCGGCCAAUUGAACCUUCUCAAACUGUUUCUUUUUAAGAACCAAAAAGAUUUGUGCCAAAAUAACAGAUGCCAAGAAGAACAAAAGUCCUUGGACACGUAAUGGAUCUUGAAGUACUAUUUCUGCAUCUCCCUGACCAAAUCCGCCUAUAUUAGGAUUACUCGUUAAUGGUUGAUCAAAUUUGAUAGAUUCGCCCUCGGAAACAAGAAGUUCUGGUCCGGGAGGGAUAAUAUCAACCACUUGACGUCCCUCCGACGCAUCCGUUAUGGUUAUCUCAUAUCCCCCUUUUUCUUUUCGUAUGAUUUUGCUUACUAUACCUGCUGCUGUAGCAUUAUAAACCGUAUUGUUACUCUUGCUGCCGUCGGGAUAAAUCUGACCCCUUCCCCUGUUACCGCCUACGUAUAUAGGAUAUUUUAAGAAGUGAACAUCCUUCGUAGUAGCAGGGUCCGGGGAAAGAAUAGGGAAGGUUAUUUCACUAUAUUUUUUACCAGGGACAGGGCCUACCACAAGAAUAUUUUUUUUAUUGGGGCGAUAGCUCUGAAAAGACAAAUUGCCAAUCCUUUCUUUCAUCUCGGGAGAAAUACGAUCGGGAGGAGCUAAUUCAAACCCCUCCGGUAAAAUAAGAACAGCCCCCACGUUCAACCCCCCCUUUUUACCAUUAGCAAGAACCUGUUUCAGUUGCAUAUCAUAAGGAAUUCGAACAACUGCUUCAAAUACAGUAUCAGGAAGUACCGCUUGUGGAACCUCAAUCUCCACGGGCUUAUUAGCUAAAUGGCAAUUGGCACAUACAAUACGCCCAGUCGCUUCUCGUGGAUUUUCAUAACCCUGCUGUGCAAAAAUGGGAUAUGCACUUGAAAUGGAUGUCCGAGUUAAGAUAUAUAUCAUGAGCGAUACGGAAAUAGAUCGAGUAAUCUGUUUCUUUAGCCAAGAAAAAGCAUUUCUAGUUUGCAUGGUCCAAUCAUUGAUCGCGAAAAUUUCUACAAUAAAUUGGGUAGGUCGCUAGUAUAGUUCCCUAGCCACGAUUCUGCUAUUUGCUGGAAUAAUCUAGAAAUAAUAUAGGAUGAAUCUUCCCGAUGGUUAGAAAUAGAAAGAUAAAAUACGAUUUUCAAUACUUUGCUUAUGUACAACUACAAAGUACCAAGCAUUCUAAUUGGAUUAGAUUAAUAUCAAUGGAUCCUUUAUCAGUCAUUCAUUGAAUGAUAAAUAACUACAAGUGACGGAGACAGACGAUUUAAAUAACGGAAAAUCCAAUAUUUAAAAAUUGUAUCGAGAAUGACUGGGAAGGUGGAAACAAGACCAGAUAUAAUUUGAUCAUUAUGAACAAACCCAAAAUCUUUAUAGAUAGAGCCAAUAAUUAAUUCCCAACCGCGGGGUGAAUGGAAUCCGAUACAUAAAUCAGUUAAUAAAAGAAUAGAAAAAGCUUUUACUGUGUCACUUACGUUAUAUAGGAAUUCCUGAGCCCAAGAGUUAAGAAUAACAAGUUUUUCAUUACCCAAAAUUGAAUACCCGCUUAGAAUAAUAAAACAGAUGAUAUUUGUUGAGAAGUGCAAAAUCGUAUGGAUACGAUUCUCAUUUUGCAUCUUGAUUAAUUGGAUCGUUUCUUUAUGGAUUCCUAUCCCAAACUCUUCGAGAUGUGUUUCCGAGUAUUCCUUGAUCAUUUCGUCCAAGAAGAGGAGUUCCUCUAAUUCUAUGAAUUUUUCUAGAAGACUCUUUUCUUGAAUAGUAUUCAAGAAAAUUUCGGAUUGCCCAGUAUUCCACCAAUUAGUAACCCAAGAUUCCAGACAUUUAUUAACUGAGAAAGAAAUCCACCAGGGCAAAAAUACUAUAUAUGCAAGAUAGAAAAGAGGGGUGAAUGCUUUCUUUUUUGCCAUUUUUUCAUCUGUGAAUUGUUAAUCAACCCAUCCGUACACUCUAUGCGAUCGAAUAUUUCUUACACACAUGAGUUUUAUACAAGGUAUCGAACUUAUGAAUCUAUUUUCUUUGUGAUUUUGUGGUUAGUCUUUGAAUCUAGAAAGAAUACAGAAAUAGGCUAAGAAUUCACUUCGAAUGAAGAAAUUGAGAAUAUUGUUUCCUGAUAUCUCAAUUGGUCAAAUUCAAAAUCAAGUGUCUCCUUUCGAUGAAUGAUCGAAAGAACCACUUUAAGUAAUGAAUAUUGUUCAGAUUUUGAGAAGAAAGAACUCCCUUGCUAUCAAAAUAUCCAAUAUUUCGAAAAAAUUUCACUAAUUACCCAUAGUCAGGAAUAGAAUAAUUGAGGGAAAGAUAUUACGAUGAUAAAAAAAAAUGACUGGCAAAAGAUAAAUUGGCUAGUUCUCAUUAUUUAAUUAAGAAAUCCAAUUGUUGGUCAUUAAAGAAUACAAAAGAAAGAAUUUCCAAUUUACAAGAUAUGAUCUAUCUGGAUCUAAAGUGUCAAUUCCAACAAAUAUUGAACUAAAAAAAAUUUCUUGAUUUCGAAAUGGUUUGCCAUCUGAGAUGAAUCUAUUAUUUCGAUUUGUUAUUUGUUAUUGAAUUGCGUGGGUUUACAUACGCAUAAAGACCAUAAAAAGAGUUUCGUUUUAUGGUUCUUUCAUAUACGUUUUCUUUAAUUGAAUGAACGUUCUGAUUCUCAAUUUCUCAAAAUACUUCAAUUGGUACACGCAAGAAAUAGGCUAAUUCAGCAGCCUUUUGUUCAAUUUCUCGUGGAGUCAAAUUCUCAUCAGUACGGGUUAAGGGAAUGGACCCCUGGCCUCGGAUGUCCAUAUAAAGAACACGACGAGCAUAAAUACCCUCUUUAACUUCUAUUCUAACGGACUGAAUAUCUUUUAUAAGGAAUCGGAGGAAUAUGCGACGAUUUUUUCCCGGAAAUCCCCAACGAAAAAUACAGACUAUUCCUUCCUUUAUAUCGAAUCGAUCAUAACCACUACCUACAUUCCAGGAAAUUGUGCACCACAAAUAAGAGCUAAUAAAGAGACCCGCAAUUCCGUAGAAAGACAUCACGAUUCCUUGUGGAAAAAAAAUGAUUUGCUGAGGCGGAAAAAAAGAUAUCAAAUUUCUACCAAGAUAACUGGAAGUUCCAACUAAUAAGAAGCCUAAUGAACCUAAAAAAAGGAUAAAGGCCCAGCAGAAAUUACUUAUUUUUCGAGACCCCGUUAUAAGUUCUAUCCAUAUAUGUUCUGAUCGCCAAGUCAUACUUUACCCGAUUGCAUUUUAUUAGAAUUGAGAUAAUACCCCAUAGAAAUUUGACUUUACUUUUUUGUUUCCGAAGUAACUCUCAUCAACUAGCACUAGUUUGAGGUGAACUAGCACUAGUUUGAUGUCAACCUUUAGGAGUAAUUCAUCAAAUUGGUUAAAUCUAAAAUAAUAACAUACUCUUUAUUUAAUACGAUCCCACUAUACAUAUCGAUAUACAUAGAGAUUAACCGACUACAUUUCAGCCAUCCAGUGAUCCUGAUCUAUUUGAAAAUUACUAGAAUGGAUAUAUCCAUAUAUCAUGUUUCUGCAGGCAUAAGAGUUUUUUCCUUUAUGUUCGGUAGAAAUCACAUGUUAUACUCUAUUCCAAUAAAUAGAUAUCCGUGUUAUGAUACAAGUCCACGUUUUCAAAAAAAAAUGGAUGAGAUUGGGUCCCAGCGUAUCUAAACAAUCUUGUUUUUUUGAACAUGAAUAAAUAAAGAAGCCAUUGCAAUUGCCGGAAAGACUAGGCCUACUAACGGCACAAAAAUAGAUGGAAGGUUCAAAUUUGUCAUAGAAGGGGUACCUCGAUUUACUAUAUUGUAUCUGUUAUUAUGUUAUUAUAUAAAUAAAGAUAUCUUGUAAUAAUUAAAUAAUUAUAAUUAAAUUAAGAAUUUGAAUUCUAAUUAGAUAAUAUUUAUUAUUAAUAGAAUUUGAAGAAUUUGAAAUUCUUAGUAUAGAUCUAAGUAUCUAUAUAUCUAAAUCUAACUGAGUACGUAUAAUAAGAAUAAGUGCAAAGAAUGUAGAACUAAAUAAAUGGACUUAUUCAUCUCUUACAUGAGAAAGAUAUGUAUCAUAAUAAACUUUAUUAUUCAUUUCUUUGUCUUUUGUUCUUGUCUUCUAAUUUUCUAAAAAUAGAUAAAGAGAUUAUCGAAAGAUUCGUUCGAAUCCGACCCAACAUGAAUUUUUAGCUAAAAUGGUUUUUAGGGAGAUAGAGAAAGAUACAAAACUCUAUUAUCUAUAUUUUAAUUUCAAAUUAUAUACCUAAGACAAGAAGAAAUUCGUUUUAUUUUCCUAAUUUCACGAAAGGAAGAACUCACUCUUGGUGAUAAAGGCUUCUUGAUUCGUAAUCAGGAAUAUAGGUCAAAAAAGAGUUAUCCUCAACUUUAGUUUUGAUUCUUUCUACAAUUAGAUCUUCUAUCACCAAAGAAAGGGCCAUUAUUAUCUUAUUUACUUUAUCUUAUUUACUUUGAUUCCGAUAAACUAACUACUUUUUUGCUACAAACACAAAUAAAAUAAAAUAAUGGCCUUAGUGCUCUACUUGAUUUUGCUUGACUUUUGAUUCAAAGGAAAAAAGGCGUGGAGCUUAAAUAACUCACUCAGAACGCUUUUUAAAAGAUUACGUGGUACAAUUAGGUCGAAUAAACCCUUCUGGAAUAAGUAUUCAGCUACUUGUGAACCUUCGGGUACUGUUUUAUUCAAUGUUUGUUCAAUUACUCUUUUACCUGCAAAUGCAAUGUAGGCAUUGGGUUCGGCAAUAAUGAUAUCCCCCAACAUACCAAAACUAGCUGUCACUCCACCAGUUGUCGGAGAUGUAAGGAUUGAUACAUAAAAUAAUUUUUUAUUUAAUUGAUAAUCAUAUAAAGCAGACGAUAUUUUAGCCAUUUGCAUCAAGCUCAAACUUCCUUCCUGCAUGCGCGCCCCCCCAGAAGCACACACUAUAAUAAGAGGUAAAAUUUGAUUGGCAGCGUGUUCAAUCAAACGGGUGAUUUUCUCUCCGACUACGGAUCCCAUACUACCCCCCAUAAACUGAAAAUCCUACAUCACUCAUGUUAUGAUUGAUGGAGGUUCAGGUGCAAAUAUUUGCCCUAUUUCUACUUUGCAAAAGUUGAAUAUUGGUACUGACAGGAUCAGGCCCAACAAUGUAUGUGUUAGGGCUUUCAAAUUCCAUUGGCGAAAUAGAACUAAUGUUGACCAUAGGGCCUGUUGAGUUCGCCAUAGAGUUUCAAGUAUUGGAUGUAGACUCCUUUUACAAUCUGUUGUUGGGAAGGCCGUGGAUCCACAAGGCCAAGGCGGUUGCAUCUACACUGCACCAAAUGAUUAAGUUUGAGCAUAACAGGCAAGAAGUAGUUAUUCAUGGUGAAGGAGAUUUGUCAGCCUACAAAGAUUCUCCCUUGUCUCUUAUAGAAGAAAAUAAUGUAAAGGAGACAUUCGUCUAUCAAAUUUUUGAUACAGUACCAGUGAGUCGUAUCCUUGAAUAACAGGUUAUACCGGGACCACAAUUGUCUUCUGCUUCUAUCAUGAUGGUGAGUGAACUUUGGAAAUACGGAUUUGAGCUGGGAAAGGGUUUGGGAGCAUCUCUGCAUGGUAUAGUUCAUCCCAUAUGUCCGAGUGAGAACGUGGGCACGUUUGGUCUGGGAUUUGAGCCUACGGCUGAAGAUCUAAAGAAAGCUAAGGGAAGGAAAAAGGAAAUAUGGUCACUCCCUCUUUCAAUGCCGUUACUCAGUGAAUCAUUUGUUAAGAGCGGUGUCACGAAGCAUGUGGAAUUUGAAGUUAAAUGGGUUGAUGACUGUCAGAAUCUUUUUAUUGAAGUUGAUAUGGUCAAAGCAGGAGAAGGUACUAGUAUAGCAGACGUGCAAUUCAUAGGUCCAGCUGUCCGACUCAAUAAUUGGGAAGUCACUCCUCNNNNNNNNNNNNNNNNNNNNNNNNNNNNNNNNNNNNNNNNNNNNNNNNNNNNNNNNNNNNNNNNNNNNNNNNNNNNNNNNNNNNNNNNNNNNNNNNNNNNNNNNNNNNNNNNNNNNNNNNNNNNNNNNNNNNNNNNNNNNNNNNNNNNNNNNNNNNNNNNNNNNNNNNNNNNNNNNNNNNNNNNNNNNNNNNNNNNNNNNNNNNNNNNNNNNNNNNNNNNNNNNNNNNNNNNNNNNNNNNNNNNNNNNNNNNNNNNNNNNNNNNNNNNNNNNNNNNNNNNNNNNNNNNNNNNNNNNNNNNNNNNNNNNNNNNNNNNNNNNNNNNNNNNNNNNNNNNNNNNNNNNNNNNNNNNNNNNNNNNNNNNNNNNNNNNNNNNNNNNNNNNNNNNNNNNNNNNNNNNNNNNNNNNNNNNNNNNNNNNNNNNNNNNNNNNNNNNNNNNNNNNNNNNNNNNNNNNNNNNNNNNNNNNNNNNNNNNNNNNNNNNNNNNNNNNNNNNNNNNNNNNNNNNNNNNNNNNNNNNNNNNNNNNNNNNNNNNNNNNNNNNNNNNNNNNNNNNNNNNNNNNNNNNNNNNNNNNNNNNNNNNNNNNNNNNNNNNNNNNNNNNNNNNNNNNNNNNNNNNNNNNNNNNNNNNNNNNNNNNNNNNNNNNNNNNNNNNNNNNNNNNNNNNNNNNNNNNNNNNNNNNNNNNNNNNNNNNNNNNNNNNNNNNNNNNNNNNNNNNNNNNNNNNNNNNNNNNNNNNNNNNNNNNNNNNNNNNNNNNNNNNNNNNNNNNNNNNNNNNNNNNNNNNNNNNNNNNNNNNNNNNNNNNNNNNNNNNNNNNNNNNNNNNNNNNNNNNNNNNNNNNNNNNNNNNNNNNNNNNNNNNNNNNNNNNNNNNNNNNNNNNNNCACUUCAACAGGGGAAACCCCAUAUUUAUUGGUGUAUGGGACAGAAGCAGUCAUCCCUGCAGAAGUUGAAAUUCCCUCUCUUCGAGUCAUUGUAGAGGCAGAGAUUGAUGAUGACGAAUGGGUAAAAACCCAACUAGAAUAUUUGAGUUUGAUUGAGGAAAAAAGGCCAGCGUCUGUGUGUCAUGGCCAGUUAUAUCAGAGGAGGAUGGCUCGAGCGUAUAACAAAAAGGUCCAUCUUAGGAAUUUUGAAGUUGGUCAGUUGGUAUUGAGACGUAUCCUUCCUCACCAGGUUAAAGCGAAAGGCAAGUUCUCCCCUAACUGGCAAGGUCCCUUCAUUGUGAAGAAAGUGUUGCCCAAUGGAGCCUUAUAUUUGACAGAUAUUGAAGGCAAAAUGAUAGAAAUGGCUAUCAAUGCUGAUGCGGUCAAAAGAUACUAUGUAUGAUAUUUGAUCCUUUGUUGAUUUUAUUGCAUGUUUAGUACUUUUAUUUUGAAGAUUGAUAUGAUGAAGACAUUUUAUUCUUUUAUCCAAACAUUGUGUCAUCCCUUGUUUACCCGUUUGAGCUUCGUUUCAUUUUUUCUUUUAUAUCCCUCUUUUGGAAUCAAAAUAAAGUCAAAGAUAAAUGUCGAGGAAAUGAGAAUAAAAGAAAGAGUUCAAAAAUUAAAAAAAAAAAAAUCAAAAUCAAAUCAGAACAAAGAACAAGCUGAUGGAACUACGUUUGACCUGAUUCUCCUCUCUCGGGAGUGAGAUACGUAGGCUGCCCUAUUUUAAGCUCGAUCCAACCAAAUAAAGAUUUAAGAUUCACCCAGUCAACAAAACUGGGGCAUGAGUUAAUGUGUUAUUUGAGUCGAUUCCAAAAGUUGUAAGUCCCACCCCCACUUCAAGUAUCAUUUGAGCCCCUUACCAUCUUUUCUAACCUUAACCAAAAGCCAAGUUACAACCAAAGAAAGUCCUUCAGAUCAAUUUUUGAUAAUGUUAAGGCUAAGCAUGCAAUGGAUAUGAUGAUACAUUGUGAGGUACCACUUGUCUCCNNNNNNNNNNNNNNNNNNNNNNNNNNNNNNNNNNNNNNNNNNNNNNNNNNNNNNNNNNNNNNNNNNNNNNNNNNNNNNNNNNNNNNNNNNNNNNNNNNNNNNNNNNNNNNNNNNNNNNNNNNNNNNNNNNNNNNNNNNNNNNNNNNNNNNNNNNNNNNNNNNNNNNNNNNNNNNNNNNNNNNNNNNNNNNNNNNNNNNNNNNNNNNNNNNNNNNNNNNNNNNNNNNNNNNNNNNNNNNNNNNNNNNNNNNNNNNNNNNNNNNNNNNNNNNNNNNNNNNNNNNNNNNNNNNNNNNNNNNNNNNNNNNNNNNNNNNNNNNNNNNNNNNNNNNNNNNNNNNNNNNNNNNNNNNNNNNNNNNNNNNNNNNNNNNNNNNNNNNNNNNNNNNNNNNNNNNNNNNNNNNNNNNNNNNNNNNNNNNNNNNNNNNNNNNNNNNNNNNNNNNNNNNNNNNNNNNNNNNNNNNNNNNNNNNNNNNNNNNNNNNNNNNNNNNNNNNNNNNNNNNNNNNNNNNNNNNNNNNNNNNNNNNNNNNNNNNNNNNNNNNNNNNNNNNNNNNNNNNNNNNNNNNNNNNNNNNNNNNNNNNNNNNNNNNNNNNNNNNNNNNNNNNNNAUAUUCAUGCUUUUUGUCUUUUUAUGUCAUUUAUCAAAAUAAAAGUCACCAUCAUUUCUUUAUAUUUUAAGUCAAGUUUGUGUCAAAACAAGCGAGAAAGGAUUUCAAAAUUUACUACCAGUCUUUCCAAUAUAUGAGGAAAAGCCAAGGAACAACACAGGAAGAAAUAUGAUCGUAAUUCAACACGAAGCAAAGGAAGUCUAUCAACCGACAGGCUAUUGGAUUCGUAGAAAUAUUCAGAUUUAGGAAAAAGUGCACCUCAGGGGCAUGGUAAAAUGGAAACCCAUUGUUCGAGUCAGCACUCACUUCCCUCUAUAUGGAUCCGGGUCAAUGAUGCGGAAAGGCAGGAAACGUGUUAGCGAUUUGGAACAAAGAUAAAAGGAACGAGUGCUGGGCAGAUACCUGAAAAGCCAAGAUCUGCAAGCCACCACUAAGUUUUUAACUGACAAAUUUUCUUUGUUGAAACAGGGGCAAAUUCGUUUCACUUGAUUCAGCUACCAUUGGAAAUGAACAUUCGUGAGAUUUUACUUUCUGUUCAGGACCCCUCUGAAAAAUGGGAUUUUACUUUAUGUUCAGGACCCUCAUGAAAUAUGGGAUUUUACUCUCUGUUCAGGGAUUUUACUUUCAGUUCAGGACCCUCCUAAAAAAUGGGAUGUUAUUUUCUGUUCAGGACCCUCCUAAAAAAUGGAAUUUUACUUGUUGUUCAGGACCCUCCUGAAAAAUGGAAUUUUACUUUCUGUUCAGGACCCUUCUGAAAAAUGGUAUUUUACUUUAUAUUCAGGACCCUCCUGAAAAAUAGAAUUUUACUUUAUGUUCAGGACCCUUUUGAAAAAUGGGAUUUUACUUUAUGUUUAGGACCCUCCUGAAAAAAUGGAAUUUUAGUUUAUGUUCAGGACCCCCCUGGAAAAUGGAAUUUUACUUUCUGUUCAGGAUCCUUUUGAAAAAUGGGAUUUUACUUUAUGUUCAGGAUCCUUCUGGAAAAUGGGAUUUUACUCUCUGUUCCGAACCCUCCUGAAAAAUGGGAUUUUACUUUUUGUUCAGGACCCUACUGAAAAAUGGGAUUUUACUUUAUGUUCAGGACCCUCCUGGAAAAUGAAAUUUUACUUUCUGUUCAGGACCCUCCUAUAAAAUAGGAUUUUACUUUAUAUUCAGGACCCUCUUGAAAAAUGGGAUUUUACUUUAUGUUCAGGACCCUCCUGGAAAAUGAAAUUUUACUUUCUGUUCAGGACCCUCCUAUAAAAUAGGAUUUUACUUUAUAUUCAGGACCCUCUUGAAAAAUGGGAUUUUACUUUAUGUUCAGGACCCUCCUGGAAAAUGAAAUUUUACUUUCUGUUCAGGACCCUCCUAUAAAAUAGGAUUUUACUUUAUAUUCAGGACCCUCUUGAAAAAUGGGAUUUUACUUUAUGUUCACGAACUUCCUGAAAAAUGGGACUUUACUUUCUGUUCAGGACCCUCCUGAAAAAUGGGACUUUACUUUCUGUUCAGGACCCUCCUGGAAAAUGGGACAACACUUUCAAAAAUGAAAUACUACUUUACUAUAAUGUUUUGUUUGGGAUAAUUUUUGUUCUAGUUUUAAUUUUGGGUUUCAGGAGCCCGCCUGAAGAACAGGGUGAUGAAAUAACAAGUCAGGAGCCCGCCUGGAGAAUAGGAUGAAGAAACGAAAAGUCAAGCAACAAAGCGAAGCAAUUGAAAGUCAAGCAACAAGUUGGAAGAAAUUGCAAGUCAGGAGCCCGCCUGAAGAUUAGGGUGAUAAAAGUUGAGUCAAGAACCAACAAAAGCUGUAUAGAUAGGAUUUUUGUAAUUUCAUUUAUGUUUUAACUUGUAAUUUUCAUUUUUGAUGUAAUAACAGAGCCGCGAACCGGAACCUCGAUGGAACCUCACUCGACUCUCCAACUCGGUAUAGUCCUUCUCUUCCAAUCCUCUGAAAUACCCGUGACUUGAUUCUCUCAUAAUUUGGGUAGGAAGGAUGUCCUAAUUCAAGACCCGGUAGUCCUUCUUUCUUCUGUUUCUUCCUUUGAAUAAUGGGCGGGACAAAAAUUCUGUCUCGUUUUCUACUUCUUUGUCUGAAAACACUGCGUGUUUACAUUCAAAGGGGGCAUGAUGUAGACACCUAAUUUUGUCCCUCCCCGAUGUCGUUUUUACCCAUUUUAUUUUUAUCCUAUCGUGUACCCUCACCCAUGAUAUUAUAUCCUCACAAAAUAAAAAAAAUGUAACAAAAUCCCUAACAAAACCUAUCCUAACUAAUUCUAUCUUAUCCUAACAACCUACCCAAUCAAAAUAAACCACACCACACCACCCCAUACCCUACCCCACCUACCCUACCCCAAUACCCACCUCACAAUAUAUACACACAUACUCUCACGUAAGAAAGGGGAUCAGUAACCCAAAAAAAGAAAGAGAGCAGAUCUCAAAUUUUUUUUUCUUUUCCCAUUUCCAUCAUCUUCUUAACCUCACACCAUUAACACACAGACCUCACGAUUCACACACACACACUCGCUCUAGCUGGAAAACACUUGUGCACACACACUCAGUAAGGAGAAACGAAAAAUGGAGGGCGUUUGACGGAAUCCGACGAAGGAAUAGGGAAAGCGGCGAGAAAUCAAAUUUUCGUUCAAGCUUUUUUCGGUGACCUAAGUACCGGAUUCAGUUUCAGUGUCAGUUGUUCAAAUCAGUCUCGUAAUCGCCCAAAUCUCUUUAUUUUUCUUCGAUUUUUGGACGAGAUUUAGCCGGAAUCCGACCGUUUAGUUGUUUUUCGAUCACUGUUCUGGCGAGUCUACACUGAUUUGGAGCUCCGGUGAGUUGCCAACAGCAACCCAGUUGCGAUUCGGUUACGGGUUUGAGAGAGAAAUAGACAAAGGUUAGUGACGAGAGGUCUGCUCCGGUGACCCGAACUCGCCGGAGCUCCGGUGACUCAUAUGAGUAGUUUCUACCUUGACUGGUGUCAAAACCAUCGAAAAACAUCGCUAAUAGCGACCCACAAACCAAUCGCUCACAAAUCCGUUGAAAACAGUAACCCCCGUCGACCGAAAGCAUAUCAGUGACCAAACUAGCUGAUUUCGAUGAGGUUAGUUUGGGUUCGACGAGAUUUUUGACACUGUUAUCUCGGGCUUUCGCAUUUUCAGUGAUUCAAAUCCGUGCGAGUCAUUACUUUUCAUUAUUGAGGUGGUGUGAUUUGUUCGUGAUUGAGGUUCGAUGUUGAGGUUCCGUUGGACGCGGUUCUAUUUGGGAUAUUCGGACGCGGUCUUCGUUUUUUCACUUGAUUAAUAUUGGAAUUUGAAAGCUACGAAUCGAGGUCCAAUUCUAUUCCCCUCUUUUGUUUCAUGUUUAUUAUAUUUGAUGUUUGGAAUGAAUAUUGUGUUUGUUUGAUGAUUGUGACGUGGUGAUAUGUUUCGAUAUUAUGUUGGAGAAAUCGCAAUUACUGUGGUUGAUUUGAUUGAGACUUAUUUAAUCAUGUUGGUUGAAAUAAAUUUGGGGACGGGAAUCGAACAUUGAUAAAAGUGAAUAUUAUGAUAUUUUUGAUACAUUGUUGAUGUUGAAUGUGAUAUGUCGUCGAGCGGGUAGGCAAACAGUAAGCUCGGGUAGGCAAGUUUAGGAUUGGUAUAGUGUUGGAAUGAUUGAAAUAUUUGUUGAAUGUUUUGUUUAUUGUAUUUGAAAAGUGUAUUUAUUUAACCGGGGAAUGCCUCGAGGUAAUUUGUAUUUACUCACCGGGGAAUGCCCCAAAGAAUUUUAUACGCAAAGGAUGCUCGUGAUCAAGGCCCGAGGUAUCGGGUAAAGCAUAGUUUAGGACUAGUGUAGGUUAUUUCAGUUUUUAUUUCGGGUUGUAAUAAUUGGACUGGACUUUACAUUUUGUUUUGUUCUGUUAUUGUUUGAUUAUUUUGCGUUCUUUUGUGUGGUUUAUACAUUUCGUAAUGCCAAAAUUAGUUGAUACACUCUACCAAGCGACCGUGGUUGAACCACGGGAUCGAGGGGUGCCUAACACCUUCCCCUCGGUCAACAGAAUUCCUUAGCCGGAGUCUCUGUUCGCAAACCAGUUUAAAGAGUCAAAUGAUUUUGAAAAGGAUUUUUCCAAUGGUGACUUGGCACACCAGAUUAUGCCAAGUGACGACUCUGAGUAAAAAAUGUAAAUAAUCCUUUUUUAGAAAUAAAUUUUCAUCUUUUGUCACUUUAAUAAUUAAAAUCCUUUCGAACUUAAAAUAACCAAAUCUCUUUUUGGAUUACGUUUAAAAAGGGGUGUGACAUGCAUGCCCAUCUUUACACUGUAGUAUAUAUCACCCUAAAUUCUUCAAUCAUUCCAGCAAGGAGUCAACGUCAAGCAUACAAUUCUCAUCAAAAUCUCCAUCAUCAAGCAUUUGAAGCAAGGAGUCAGGGUUAUAACUCUCAUCAUCAAAUUCCCAUUGUUCAUAAACGAAUGUACUUGCUUCAUAGUUAUUAAUCUCGUUUACAACCAUUAAUUGAUUGUCGUCGUUGUUGCUAAUUACUUGAUGACUUUAAUCAAUACUUCCUAAUAGAUAAUCAAUUAAUUCAUCAACUUCUUCCUCCAUCACCUCAUCAGUAACCCCCUUAUUCUUUUUCUCAUCUUUUUUCUUCUCUUUGAUUUUGCAAAUAACGAUUAAUCAUUGUAUUUGCUUUUCUUAUAGUACUCAUCCGGCAAAAAGUAUUCUUUCAUGAGCCACUUAUCAUUAUUUUCAUUUUUUUCUUCAUGAAGAUCACUUUGAUACUUUUAAACUUCUCUUAUAUCCCAUUGUAAUAUUCUUCUUUGAUCCAUCUUUAAUUGGAUUGCCACUUGUUUGGCCUCUCCAAGUCCCUUUCCCAACUGUUCUUUUGAAUUUUUUUGUUGAAUUCUUAAAUCUCUUCAAUCGCGAAAGGAAGUAGCAUGUUUUCUCCUCCGAACCCGCCAUUAUCUCCCAUGGCUCGGAAUAAAAUCCCUGGGUGGAGAAAUUCCGUGGAGCACAAAACUGUUGAGAUAGUUUAUCAACUCUUUAUCAGUGGGAUGGAAUCGAAAACCUAGCUUUAAUUUGAAUGAAGGCAUUCUAUAUAUAUGUAUUUGUUUUGUUGCGUAUGAGUAAAAACGAGAUAAUGGAAUUUGGUUGAAGCUACUGCUUGUGAAGAGGUUUAUAUAAUGGGUUAACAAACCAUAAUUUGUCUAAUUUUAGGAUAAUACAUGAUUAGGUGCGUGCAAAAUAAAUUAACGCUAAGUAGAAGUUGAAUUAGGGCUUCCUUGAAGAAAAACUUUUCGUUUUAUAUUAUUUCUAAAAACGAAACUCCAUUAUUUCCAUUUUUUUUGAUCUAUUCUUCACUAAAAUGUUGUGUCGACUACAUAUAUUAUAUUGUAUUAACAUAAUAAAUACUUUAACUCUUUUAGAGUAUUUUAAUUUUUUAUAGUAGGUAUUUGCUAAUUUUUGUGACCACCCGUCUAUAUAAUUGUGAAGUGUUAUCAAUAUUUGACGUGAUUUGGUUCUGUAAAUAUUUUUACGUUGCUUGUGCAAGGAACUAAAGUCUUCACUUAAUAGGAAGGGGGAAAGAAAACGGAAGCAUUUAAUAAAAUGAAAUUGAAACAUAUAUCCAUUUCGUUUAUGUUUGGUGAAGAUCUUCAUGUAUUAUAAUAUUAGUGUUAUAAAAUAAAAUAACGAAGUAAAGAAAUUAAACAACGGAUAGUAAGCCUUUUAUUAUCUGUUGAUCUUGGUACAAAAUGAAAGUAAAUGGAUACCUUAUAUAGGCAUUUCUGCCAACAUUUCCACCAAUGGAAAUUGUUGGUUUGUACCUUGAAAGUCUUCACAAGAAAAUGAAGACCAUGUUGACAAAGGGGGACAUCCACACUAUCAUUUCUUAACACUCCCUGGGAUGUCUAAUACAAAAGAAACUCUAAUAAUUCAUAUCUUGUAAUAUACAUUUUAUUUUUUAAUUGCCUCAUUAAAAACCUUAUCAAGAAAAAUUCAAUGGGAUAAAAUCUUGAUUAAGGAAAAAAGAGUGUAGUAUGUAUUAACUCCCCCUGAUUAAAGCAUCACUUAGCAUCUCAGAGAUGUCGCAUUCCAAUCUUGUAUAUCAUUUUCUCCAAUGUUCAAAACCUUUUUUGUAUAAAUAGAUUGAUGGACAAAGAUACCGUUUGUCAAAUGCUCAAUUUGAAAACCAAGACAUAAUCUUAUCCUUCCAAGAUCUUUCAUCUCAAAUUCCUUCUUUAAAUAAUCAAUUGCCUUUUGAAGCUCUAUUGAAUUUCCAAUAAGAUUUAGGUCAUCAACUUAAAUGACAAGCACAACAAACUCCGAUGUUGUUUUCUUUAUAAAACACAUGGGCAAAUUUCAUUAUUUAUAUAACCUUCUUUAGAUAAAUACUUAUUAAGGUGGUUAUACCAUCUGCAUCCAGAUUGCUUGAAACCAUAUAAUGAUCUCUGCAAUUUAAUUGAAUACAUUUCUCAAGAUGCCUCGUGCAUUUUAUAUCCUUCAGGAAUGUAAGACCCCGUAAAAUUCUAAGUCAAAAUUUCAUCCCUUAAAGCUCCUUAAGGGAUCCAAUACUUAGAAAAUUUUAGCUAAGUGUUCAACACUUAGUCUCAUUUUAAGCCUUCGAACUUCAGGAAUUUAUUUCACGACCUUCCCGACCUUCAUUUUUUAUUUUCAAGUUGUGUUGCGAUGGGGCAAGGUAAGAGUACAUCUCGGGUGAGUUUCAGGAUUUUUGAAAUAGCAUAAGGGAACGUUUGGUAUGCCAAACCAGUAGCUAAAGGCGCUGGUGAGGCGCCGCCCAGGCUGGACCACUGGUCUAAGCAAGGCGUCGCUUUGGUUCUCCCAUGGUCCAACCUGGGCGCCGCCUUGGGUAUAGCCCUGGUCCAAUUUUUUCUGCAUUACACCUCAGUAUUUUGAAGGGCAAAUGGGUCAUUUUCUACCAAUAUAUAUAUCCAUAAACACGAAAUUCAGCCAUAAUUAAGCAACAUAUACUUGAUUUCUCUCAAAAACUCUCAAGAACAAGCUAGGGUUUUCAAUUGGGGAUUUAAUUUCAAGAAAAUUCCACCAUCAAUCUUCGUAGAACCACGUAGUAAGGUAUAUUUAGUGUUGAUACAUGGAUUACUUUCAUCCAUAAAGUUCAAGAACCCUAUUUCAAAUUAUAAAGCAUGAUAUUUAUGAUGUGUGUUGAUUGUAAUCAUGUUAAUGUUGUUAUAUGAUUUCCAGUUGGAAUCUUUAUGUGAUUUUCAUGAAACUAUGUUAGCAAUAGAGUUGAAAUCCAUGAAUUGUUGUUAUGAUGUGUUAAUUGAUGAUUAUACCUAUGCCCGCAUGUAAGGUGUUUGAUAAAAUGCCUAAUAGGAUAGAAAUUAUGCAUUAUAGCUAAAUUAUGACCCAAAUGAUAAAUGCAUGCUUUACCCUUAUGCUCAAAUGAAUCUCAUGUUAUUAUUGUGCAUCGUAAAUGUUUGUUGGAAUACCCAUGAUAUUAGAAUAUGAAACCAUAGUAUGUCUAUAUGCAUCCCAAUUCAUGUACAAGAUUAUGACAACCAAGUGCUUCAUGAAUUUCCCCAAUUAGUGUAUUAUGAAUUGUGGAUUAUAGUUAUGUAUUCAAGAAGUGUCAUGUCUUGUCUAUUUCAUGCUAUCGAGUCCUAGGGGUACUUUUAUUUGACAAUUAGUGGCGGAUCUACAUAGGGUCCAAGGGGUUCAUUCGAACCCACUUUGUCGGAAAAUUAUACUAUUUUUACAUGGUAAACUUUUUUUUUAUGUAUAAAUUGUAGAGGUUGAACCCCCUUCGACUAGUCCGUAUAUGUACUACUGAACCCCUUCACUGAAAAUCCUGGAUUCGCCCCUGCCGAUAAUUUAACUAUGUGCCUAGAGCCAGUGCCAUGUUUUCACGAUACUCUCAGUCAAGCUAUGAUCAUUAGAAUUCAGUCAGUCUCAUGACUCAGGAAAACUCAAAAAUCUCAUGAACUCAGUUAGACAAUAGAAUUCGAUAAUAUUUCAUUAGUCAACGAAAUACAGUGAACUCAGUCUAGUAUAGUAAGCAUAUGCAGUAAGUGUCUAUUCUUAUGGGAGUAGGAUUCAUCACCGAGUGAGCCCAAAGAUGGGAAUUCACUUAUUAGUAGAGGGUGUGAUUCCUAGAAGCAAUCCUUGCAUUCCAGAACUACGUGACCAAAGUAGGUUGAGAUAUAAAACCUGCUAGAUAAAGGUAGAUGAGGUGGCUUAACCUGUUAGAUAAGGGUUCCCAAUGUUCUCGUUAGAGUACCUGUUAGAUAAGGGUCACUCACAGCUUGUUCUUACUGGUGGUGCGGUAUUGACACCCUUCUAAUUGGGGUUACAGAUUGGACCCCAACUCAGCUAUAAUAGCUUACUUAGGGGCAUGUCGAUUAGAUGACUACCUCUCACAGUCUCAGUCUCAAUAAAAAAUCUCAAAUAGGUCUUCAAAUUUUAGGACUAUCAGAUACAGUCAACUCAGUUCAGUACGAAACUCAGCUAAUUCUAUCAGAAUCAGGACUGUCAGAUACAGUCACUCAUGUUAUCAGUAUAUCAGUUAUCAGAACCCAAUAUCAGAUAUAUUAGUUAUCAAUAAACUCAUGUAUCAGUAUUCAGAUUCAGUAAUCAUGUUAUCACGAUCUCCGUUUAAGUUACGUAUUCAUGCAUGUAUUCUCACGUUCAUACUAUCCAGUUAGUUAGUAUUAUUCAUGUAUAUGAACCCCAUGCAUUCAGCUACCUCACUUGCAUACCAGUACAUUCUCUCGUACUGACGCAUACUUUUCUCUUGCGCUAUGACGUCGUAUACCAUAGGUUCAGAAGCAUAAGAUCCAGAGCGUCAGUAGCAUUCUAGAUUUUAGCAGCCAAACUUAGCAGUGAGUCCUCAUCCUUCGAGGACAAUUAUGUUAUUAUUUAUUUUAGUAUUUCAUUUUAGCUUGCAGUAGAUGGAGUUAGUUGGGGACGUGUUCCAUCAACUCCUUAUUCAGACAGUUUAGAGGCUUUCAGACUACUACAGUAUUUUUAGACUAGAUGUUUUCAGGCAUUAUUUCUAUUUUGGUAUUAUGAUACCACAUUAUUCAGGUAUUGUUUAUAAAAUUUUUUUUCAGAUUUGAACCUUAUGGCCUUUCAGCCUAUUAUUCUGCAUUUCUUUUAUAGUAUAUUAUGCAGUGUUCAAGUAUAAAUAGCAGUCAUGGAUUAGUUAGUGGUCCUUCAGGAUUGUUAGCAUCGUGUAGUAUUCUGGAUAUCAGAUUCGGGGCGUUACAAGGAAUUUCAUGUAUAUCUCAUUAUCAAGUGAUCCAUAAAGAUAGGUUGUAACCACAUAUAUCAAAUGCAUUUCAAGCCUCUCAUGAACAGUGAAGUUAAUGAGAUAACGCAAUGUUAUUCCAUCUAUAACUGGUGAGUAUGUCUCUUCAUAAUCGACACCAGCCUUUGUGAAAAUCCUUGUGCAACAAGGCGUGCUUUAUAUCUUUGUAUUUCAUUUUUCUUAUUUCUUUUACGCACAAAGAAUCAUUUAUAGCCAAUAGGUUUAAUACCAUUUGGUAUUUGAACAAUGGGUCCAAAAACUUCACGCUUGACAAGUGAAUUCAACUCAGAUUGAAUUAUUUCUUGCCAUUUUGGCCAGUCAUUUCUUUGUCGACAUUCUGUGACAGUCUGAGGUUCGAGAUCCUCGAUAUCUUGCAUGAUUUUUCUUGCAAUAUUAUAUGAAAAGACAUAGUCCACCACUAUUUUCGAUCGAUUCAAAUUAGUUUCACCAUCACUUGUAUUUAUGGAUAAUUCGUCAUUUUCUUGAGGUUCGAGCUCAUUGAUCCUUUCAGGGGUAUCAAAAUUGUUCAAGUCUUGAACAUCCAUAUGAGAUUCUUUCGUAGUGUCAUCUUGACCAUUUAUUUUUCUGUUUCUAGAAUUUUGAUACUUAGAACCCAAUGGUCUACCACGCUUCAGGCGUGCUUUGGACUCAUUAGCCAUGACACUAGUAGAUGGUCCUACAAGGAGCUCAAUUCGUAUUGGGACAUUCACUACAAGAAUGUAUGAUUUUGUAAUCCUUUUUAAAUCUAUAAAUAUGUCUGAUAUUUUAUUUGUAAUUUUCUGCAAAUGAAUAAUCUUUUGUACUUCUUGCUCACAAAUAGAAGCACGUGGAUCAAGAUGAGACAGUGAUAAUUUUUCACAAAAUUUCUCUUUUGAUUUCAUUAUUUUCACCCCCUAAUUUUAGGAAAAUAGUCUCAUCAAACGGAUAAUCUAAUAAUCAAGCAGUAAACAUAUCUCCAUUCAAUGGUUCAAGGUAGCAAAUAAUAAUGGGUGAUUUAAACCCAACAUAUAUUCCUAACCUUCUUUGGGGGCCCAUCUUAGUGCGUUGUGGUAGUGCCACAGGCACAUACACAACACAUCCAAAAAUUCUCAAAUGAGAUAUAUUAGUCUUUUGACCUAAAACUAGUUGUAACAGAGAAAAUUUAUGAUAAUUUAUCAGUCUAAGAUGAACAAGUAUUCCAGCAUGCAAAAUAGCAUGACCCCAAACAAAGGUGGGCAACUUAGUUUUUAUAAGCAAUGGUCUUGCUAUCAAUUGCAAAUGUUUAAUUAAUGAAUUGGCAAGGCCAUUUUGAGUGUGAACAUGAGCUACAAGAUGUUCAACUUUUAUCCCAAUUGAUAAGAAAUAAUCAUUAAAUGCUUGGGAUAAAAAUUCUGCAGCAUUAUAAAAGAGAAUGGACUUGAUCUGAUUAUUGAAAAACUGUGCCCACAAUCGUAUUAUUUAUGCCAAUAAUUUUGCAAAUGCCAAGUUGCGAGAUGACAAUAGGCACACAUGGGACCAUUUAGAAGAAACAUCUAUUAAGACUAUAAAAUAUCGAAAUGAUCCACUAGGUGGGUGAAUAGGUCUACAAAUAUCCCCUUGUAUACGUUCUAAGAAUGAAGGGGAUUCAAUCCCAACCUUAGUUGGUGAUGACCUUAUAAUUAACUAGCCUUGAUAAUAGGCAGUACAAGAAAAUUCAUUAUUUAAAAGAACCUUCAUGUUCUUUAAUGGAUGCCCAUUAGAAUUUUCUAUAAUUCGUUUCAUCAUUAUAGAUCCAGGAUGUCCCAAUCGAUCGUGCCAAAGUUCAAAAAUAUUGGAAUCAAUAAAAUUUUGAUUUACUAUAGAAUGUGCCUCAAUCGCACUAAUCUUUAUCCAAUACAAGUCAGGAGAUAAAGCAGGGAACUUUUCUAUAAAACAUGUCUGCCCAGAGAUAUUCUUGGUAAUACCAAGAUAUUAUAUCUCUGGGUAAUACCAAGAUAUUCAUGAUUCAACUCAUCCACUGUCUUGAUAUGAUAGCCAUUUUUACGGAUAUCUUUAAAACUCAGCAAGUUUCUCUGGAAUUUAGGAGAAAACAUAGCAUUAUUUAUGAAGAAUUUAGCUCCUUUAGGCAAAAUUAUAAUGUCUUUUUCAAAGUCUUCAAUUAAAUUAGUACUAGUAGAAAACGUAGUAAUAUUUAUUUUGCCCAUAUUUAAAUGAGAAAAAUAUUUCUCAUUUUUAAAUAUUUGUGUGUUGUCCUAGAAUCAAUUAAACAAAUAUCUUCAUAAUUGCAUAACUUGCUUUGUAAAUUGUCCAUAUCUUCAAAUAAAAUGACAUACACAAAAUAACAACAACAACAACAAACGCAGUGUAUUCCCACAUAGUGAGGUCUGGGGAGGGUAAGAUGUGCGCAGUCCAUACCACUACUCCCGAGGAAGCAAGACUAUUUUUGAUAGACCCCCGGGUCAAGACAAAGAAUAGUAGUCAAAGUCAUACCAGAAAACCUGGAACAAGACAAAACAUAGAGACGCCAUAUACAAGAAAGAGUAAACAAAGACUAGCAAGCAAUCGUAAUACUACAAGCAAACAGGAAUCAUAAUAAAAAUACUACACCCACCAAGUAAUGCCCUACCCUACCUAUCCAAAAUGGCACUAGUCUUCCAUCCUAAUACGCGUCCUCCAGAUCUUCCUAUCUAGGGUUAUGUCCUUAGUAAGCCAUAACCACUUCAUGUCCCACCUAAUCACCUCUCUCUAGUACUUCUUCGGCCUACUCCUACCCCAUCUGAAACCAUCCAAAGAAACUCACACCUACGAACCGGUGCCUGCGUGCCCCUCCUCAUCACGUGUCUGAACCAUCUCAAAUGAACCCCCCACAUCUUGUCAUCUACUGAAGCCACUCCAACCUUUUCUCGGAUAUUUUCAUUCCGAACUCUAUCACCCCUAGUAAGCCCACAUAUCCAACGCAACAUCCGUAUUUUCUCAACCUUCAAUUUCUGAAUGUGAAAGUUCUUGACAGGUCAACACUCUGGUCCAUACAACAUGGUGAGUGGACUACACCCUAUAAAAUUUGCCUUUAAUCUUGGGCGGCACCUUCUUGUCAGACAACACCCUUGAUGCGAGCUUCCACUUUAUCCAUCCCACCCCGAUACGGUGAGAGAUAUCCUCGUCAAUCUCAUCAUUCCCCUGAAUCAUGGACCCAAGAUACUUAAAACUAUCCCUCUUACACACCACCUGAGACUCCAGCCUUACUACUACGUCAUCCCCCUCCCUCGAGCCAUCAAACUUAUAUUUCAAAUACUCGGUCUUGCUCCUACUUAACUUGAACCCUUUAGACUCAAGGGUCUCUCUCCACAGUUCUAAUUUAUCAUUCCCCCCCCCCCCCCGAGUCUCAUCAAUCAAAACUACAUCAUCUGCAAAAAUCAUACACUAGGGCACCUCGCCUUGAAUACGCCGCGUCAACACAUCCAUCACCAAAGCAAACAAAAAUGGACUAAGAGUAGAUCCCUGAUGUAACCCUGUCAGGACAGGGAAAUGUUCAGAAUCACCACCUACCAUCCUCACCUGGGUCUUAGCUCCAUCAUACAUGUCCUUGAUUUCUCUAAUAUACACCACCGGGACCCCACUCACCUCUAGGCAUCUCCAAAGAACUUCCCUAGGGACUUUGUCGUAUGCCUUCUCCAAGUCGAUAAACACCACGUACAGAUCCUUCUUUCUUUCCCUGUACUGUUCCACUAGUCUCUGAACUAGGUGAAUUGCCUCUGUCGUCGAGCGCCCGGACAUACACAAAAUAAAUAUAUAUUAAAUAUUAAUAAUGAAUAAACUACAAAGUCAACACUAAAUAGUAUAAUAAAUUUGAGCAAUCAAAUGAGUGAAGUUCACUUUCAUGGUAAGUAUUAAUAGAAAGUCACAAGUACUAAAAUUUCUUUUUCACGCACUUGUUGAGAAAACGAUAUCAAUAAUAAUAGUUAGUCCAUGUUAAAAAAAGCUUAUAAGUAAUUUGAUCAAAUGCUUCUCUAUAGUCAUAACCCGGUGAACCAUAUUUUAUGAUAUCCAAAAAGAUGCAAGAAUUAAGACUAUAAUUUAAUGAGCAGUUUUUUUCGUAAGCAGACAGUACAUUACAAUAUUAAAUGUGAUAGGAACAAACCGAAAAUAAAUUACUAACAAACUUACGAUAAUAUGACUAAAAUAAAAAAACUAAUAAAACAGAACAACUACUUUAACAUUUAUUCAUUAUACUACCAUUACUAACAAAUAUUAAAAGUUGUUCAAUCUUCCAUAGCCACAGAACCAUCACCAAUCAGGUGCUCUAUCUUUCCUUAAGAUGCUCGAAGAAAUCUGCUACAUCUAAGUGAGCAACGUUAACAUGAUUUUUAGAGACUAAUUAGCUUCAGGGUUUUUCUCUUUUUCUUUAGUGAUGCUUGAUAAAGCUCAACCAACUGUUUGGGAGUACGACAGUCACAUGCAUAGUGUCCUCUUGCACCACAUUGAAAACAAACACAUGUUUUACCUGCUUCACGUUUGUCACUCUUUCUUUGUUUAUUUUGACAGAACCAUUUAUUUGAUGAGUGCCUAACACCAGGAACAUGAUUUUUUUUUACCAUAGUCAUGUCCACGUCCACGUCCACGACCAGAUAUAUGACCCUUUCCACUCCUAGCAUGGUGGGGGUUCACCUCAUUCACUUCAGGAAAUGGUGUAGAUCCAGUAGGUCGAAGCUCGUGAUUUUUCAUUAACAAAUCAUUAUUUUGCUUAGCCACAAGAAAGUGAGAACUUAGUUCAGAAUAUUUCUUGAAAUCUUUCUCUCAAUGUUGCUGCUGCAAGAGCACAUUCGAGGCAUGAAAGGUGGAGAGUAUUUUUUUCCAUCAUAUCAACAUCAUUAAUAGGCUCUCCACAUAAUUUCAACUGAGAAAAAAUUCUGAACAUAGCAGAAUUAUACUCAUGAACAGACUUAUAGUCUUGAAAUCUCAGAUGCAUCCAAUCAUAUCGUGCUUUUGGAUGUAUGACCAUUUUUAGGUGGUCAUACCUUUCUUUUAGGUUAUUCCACAAAACAAGUGAAUCCUUAACAAUAAGAUAUUCAAUUUUUAAAAUUUCGUCAAUAUGUUGAUGCAAAAAUAUCAUGGCCUUAGCACGAUCUUGAUUUGAUGCUUUUUUGUCUUUUUUAAUGGUAUCUCCAAGACCCAUUGCAUCUAUAUGGAUUUCGGUAUCCAAUACCCAUGAAAGAUAGUUCUUGCUCGAGCUUUGAAGGGCAACAAAUUCAAGUUUCGUAAGAUUAGACAUAUUAAAAGAAAGAGAAAAAUAAUACAUUAGCCUUCAGAUUUUAAAAUAGUGAAGUCUCGUGAUGAUAACGUGUUAUAAAAUAAAAUAACGGAGUAAAGAAAUUAAAAAACGGAUAGUAAGCCUUUUGUUAUCUGUUGAUCUUGGUACAAAAUGAAAGUAAAAGGAUGCCUUAUAUAGGCAAUUCUGCCAACAUUUCCACCAAUGGAAAUUGUUGGUUUGUACCUUGAAAGUCUUCACAAGAAAAUGAAGACCAUGUUGACAAAGGGGGAACAUCCACGCUACCAUAGCUCAACAAAUAGCACAAAAUCUUAAACUAAUUAAAAUAUUUAAAAUUAAUGGUCUUUUUCUUUUUUCUAUAAAGAUCUAUUUGUGACUAUGUAGUCAAUAUUACAACAUCAUUACAUCAAUCCCCUAAUUUUAUACUCCCAAUUUAUCAAUUUAUGUGAAACUUCUUUCCGUUUUAGUUAGUUUAAAAAUAAUAUAUAUUUUUAUAUUUAGUAGCAUCAAUUUUAUUUUAAAAUUUUUCUUUUAUUCUUAAUGAAAUAAUAUAUAUUCAAACAAUAUUUAUGGCUUGCUUUAUACUAAAAAUGUAAAAAAAUAAAAAAUAAUUUUUAUACUUCAUGUCCAGUUAAACAUCUUCUCACAUAAAUUUAACGGGAAAGGACAGAAACAUCACUUCAAAUUAAACUAUUUCCAUGAAAAUGACCAUGAAAUUUAAAUUUCACUUUCUAGCCAUUUCAAUUUAUUGGCUUUAUCUAUACCAUUUCUACAUAACUUCUAUACAGAUUCUUUACAUAUCUUAUACAUAUAAAUAUUCUAUAUGAAAAUUAUACAGUUUUGAUACAUAAUUUAUACAAUAACUAUACAUUUUUUUUUUACACAUUUUAUACAACAAUUAUAUAAUUUUCAUACACUUUCUAUAUAAUUUUUUUAUAUAUAUAUUUUAUACAUAUUUGAUAGAACUAUAUAAUUUCUAUACGUAUAGAUACAAAUUCUAUUUAACAAUUAUAUCAUUUUUAUAUAAUUUAAUUAUUAUUUCUAAAUAAUUAUAAAAAAUAAAAUAUUUGAUAAGUUAAAAAAUUUAUAACAAAAAAAAUUGAAAUACUUUUAAAAGGGAUGAAUUGUCCAAGUUGAUACUAUAUUAGGAUUGUAUAUAGGCUGUAUCAGUAUUGUAUAUGGGCUACAUAGGCCAAAACGAUCCAAAUUAGGAAAUGACUAUAAAGCGAAAAUAGUAUAUCCUACUGGUCACUUUUUGAAAAGUUUACAAACUUGCCCUAUUUAUUUUAAAAAGUGCUAUAGUGUCCUAUUCCCUAAAUGUAAGUAACAAGAGAAAAAAGAACUUUUACUUACAAAUAGAAACAUGCAAAACUUUUCUCAAAAAUUCAAAAUAAUAUAGAAUAUAGAAUGCAUGGCAGUUCGUAUAAUCCUGGUUGAGAGACCAUAUUAUGUGAUCAUGGUAUUCGUUGAAUUUCCUUUGUCAUUAAAAUUAAGUGUGCGUGUGUAUAUUUUCUAUAGAUUAAAGUAGUAUAUAUUGAAUGUAUAUGUGUAUAUGUUUUCUAAAGCAGUAUAAUGUAGAUAUGUUGUAUGUAUAAUGCUUCAACUGAUACUUUAAGUAGUAUAUAUUGUAUAUAUAUGUGUAUAUAUUUUCUAUAGACUAAAGUAGUAUAUAUUGAAUGUAUACAUGCAUAUAUGUUUUCUAAAGUAGUAUAGUAUGUAAUGUAUAUAUCUUGUAUGUAUAUUGUUUUAAGUAGUAUUUAUUGCACGUAUAAAUUUUGUAUGUAUAUUAUUUCAUGUCGUAUAUAUUUUAGGUAGAUAUGUUGUAUGUAUAUUGUUUCAAGUAGUAUAUAUUGAAUGUAUAUUGUUUCAAGUAGUAUAUAACUAGAUACUGUAUGUAUAUUUGUGUGCAUGUUUUGUAAAGUAACACAAUGUGUAAUGUAUAUAUGUUGUAUAUAUAUUGUUUCAAAUAGUACUAUAAGUAGUUUAUACCAAAUGAAUAUUAUUUUAAGUAGUAUUUCAAUAAGUAUAUAUUGUAUGUAUAUUUAUGUGUAUGUUUUCUAAUGUAGUAUAAUAUAUAUAAUGUAUAUAUGUUUUCAAGUUGUAAUAUAUAUUGAGUGUAUAUUGUUUCUAGAAGUAUUUCAAGUAAUUGUAUGUAUAUUUGUAUGUAUUUUUCUAAUGUAUUAUGAUAUAUAACGUAUAUAAGUUGUAUGUAUAUUAUUUCACGUAGUAUUUAAAUUGGUAUAUGUUGAAUGUACUUAUGAGUUUAUGUUUUUUAAAGUAGAAAUUCAAUGUAAUACAAGCAUGUUUACUAAAAUAUUAUAAUAUAUAAUGUACAUAUGUUAUACGUUUAUUGUUUAAUGUAUCGUCACGACCCGAGCCGCGGCCAUAACCGCGACGGGCAUCCCGAACCAUGAAGGUCCGAGAGACCCCCUAGCAUACUAUCAUAAGUAUAAUCCAUACGUAAAUCAAAGUGCAGAAGAUAUAAUAAUAUUCGAUGAAAAACUUAUAAUCCAAAAUGAGUCAACGAAAUUAUGACAAUACACUCAAAUUUUCGUUCUACACCAGUCUAUGAAGCCUCUAGUCUGACUGAACCGGGACAAAGUCCCCUGACCGUACCAUAAGACUGACUGAGAUUACGUAUACAUAAAAUGUCUUCUAGUUUAAGUGAGGCUCUCCAAAUUCUUGAAGUCUGGGAACAAUCUACUUCUGAGCUAGAUCCCAAAAUUGAGCCUCUGAACCUAUCGAUAGGGGGUCAAUACUCGAAAGUACUAGUAUGUAGAACUAGCCAAAAAUAACAUUUACUUCGUAUAACAAAAUUGAGAGCCUUUUUGGAAACAAUAAUGCAAAUAUAAAAACACAUGGGCAUAAUUGAAAAGCUUCAAGACAUUUUUGUAAAAGCAUGGACUCAACUCUUUGUUUUACUUUUAAGCUAGAUGGUACACCUUGCAUUUUUUAUUAUCCCACGGGCUAUAUGGAAUCCAUCCUUGACUCAGCGGCCAAUACUCCAAUCCAUGUUUUCCUCCAGGAUUGGAGUACAUAACAAAAACUAAGUAUGCAUCCUUGCCUGACAUACCAUGUCACAAGAAAAGAAUAUGCCUCCUCGCAUGACAUACCUUUUCAUCAAAAGAAAACCCACAUUGGAAAAAUACAAUUUUGGGCUGUGAGUUAUCUAAACUCGUGCCUUAUUCGGGUAACCAUCUAACUCUCUUUAAGUCCAAUUUUAGUCCUUUAACACCAUGCUUCAUGUUUAUAAAAAAAAAAGGGAUUCACUUCUGAGUUCUAUUAAGGGCACAUCAUAAUAGGUAUCUUCAUACCUAGACUUGCAAGCCAUUCAUAUCAUAUCAUAUCACAUCCAUAGCUCUUUUUAUUCAAAGCACAUUAAUGACCUCCAAAAAGGAUUUAUUAAGUCACAUGAGAGUUCUUAUUUCAAAUGCAUAUGAAACCUAUGUAAAGACAUCAUAUUUUCAAGAUUUCAACAUAAGGUGACCAACUCUUUCAUAAAACACAUACAAUUCUUUCAUUUAACACGAAGAGCGCGCGCGCACACACACACACACAUAACAAGAGAACACCCUCUAAUCAAAUCAUGACCAACAUUAAGUCCAAAAUUGAUGAUGAAAUACUUGACUUAUUCUUUAGGACAUGCAAUUGAACAACCCAUAUCUUAUUAAAUCGAUCAAAUUUCAUGUUGAGAGGGAAAUUUCAUGAAUCUUUCUCUUAUAUUAAUUCUCAAAAACAUAUAACAUAUAAACACAUGAAUAUAAUUCAAAUCUAUGAAAAACUUCAUGAUGAUCUCAUCAAAAUGGGUUCAUGAUGCAUGUUCUUUAAAGUGUUUUAAAAACCCUUCUUAUAUACAUAAUUUCAUGCAUUUAAAACUUGUUAAAAAUUAUAAACUACUCCCAUGAGGUUAAGGAUAGUCCCACAUACCUUUUGACGGAUAAAAAUCAAAGAGAACGUAGAGAGAUUUGCUCUUGGAGAUCAAAAUCUUCAAACCCUAGGUGGCUUCUCAGCUCUUGAUGAAGGAAAGAUUAUUUGGGGAUUUGAGAAGUGAAAUAAUGUGUUUAAGGAUCUAAAUUUCGUCCAUAUAUGAUUAGGAACGGUUAUAGGAUCAUAAAAGACAUUAUUGCCCUUUAAAUAAUUCAAAACGGAGCACUUUUUGAUGCUCGAGAAAGGUUUGGCGGCAUAUGGACAAAGCCAAACUCAGGGUUGGCGGCGAACAAGAAAAGCCAACCUAUUCCAGUGGUAUUUGGUGAUUCCCUCGUGGCGCAGUCCCAAUGCGGAUCCUGGAUAAGGUCCCAUUCAAACACUCAUAACUGUUGACUGUGAAAUCGGAUUGACAAACGAUUGGUGGAUUUGGAAAGAAGACUCAAACGACUUUAAUUUGAUAUUUUAUGGGCCACAUAACUCCUCAUAUUCUAGGAUUAAUAGUAGUUGGACGUUGAACUAAGAAAAAUCCUUGAUUAAAAACUCAACUGGUAAGGAAGUAUUCAACUUAACUUUGAUCUAGGAGACUUUUAUGACGUAUACUCAUCUUCAAAGAUGUUCUCACACUAAAUCAUUGUUAUUCACACUUAUUCACAAGUAGGAACCAUUAGAUUUGGGUCUAUAUACAUCGGAAAGACAAUUUAAAUUUAGCCCGAAAAAAUGGGGUGUUACAAUAUCUCCCCCUUGAAAUCAUUCUUCCUCGAAUGAUGGAUAGGAACUUGUUGAAGCUCUAAAAGUAUGGAAUAAAGAACGUAAUAUUUCAUUGGUCAUUUUUUUCUCAACAAAAUAUGCAAAGUCAUCAAAAUAGCUUUAUGAUAACCCCUAGUAAAUCGUGUAAGCACGAAACGUGAGAUAAUAAGAAUUGGCAUAAAGACGACCUUGCACAUGAGUUCUAGGGAUCAUGGUCAUAACAACAUAAGGCUUGAGUUUAUUUGGUGAUCAUAUUUCUCGAUUUACAUUGAUACUCAACAUGGAAUAAGGUUUCGGAGGAGAUAGGAAUAGAAGUAUUCUCUAUCUUACAAGAUACAACAAAUAGACCUUAAACUUAGAGACACUACUCAUCUAUGCCCCAAACAAUAAAUAACAUACUUCAUCAUUUCCAACUUAUACUUCUCCUAUAACAUAACUAACCACAAUAUUUUGAGUCCCACCAUAUAGUACUUACAUGUUGAAGCCCAACCCGAAGUUAAAAGGUGCUAACUUAAGCUAUGGGACCAUGUACUCGAUAUUCCAUUAAGAAUAUCACCUCACCUCAUCACUAUAAUCCAACAACCUCAGGUCUUAAUUCAAGGAGUAUUAACCAUAUAGCACAUCGAUUUAUGUUUUCAACAAUCAUAACAUUCAAGUCUAUCAUUACUACACCCACUUCAUGGAUCUCCCCACUAAGACCAGCAAAUUCAAUCACUCUCGCAAAGAUUUUUACCACAUAUCUUCUUCCUAACUAUUUCACAUAACGAAAGUUCAUAUCUUUCUUUCCCCCUUCACUUAGAACCUUAGCUCAAGGUAGUCACACCAAAAUUUAAAACAAUACGAAAUAUCCACUCUCUUAUCUAAAACAUUACUACGCUUCCAUAACCACUAACAUAUUAACAUUAGGAGGUUCAUUGAGGGACUAGAGCACAAGCAUAAAGAAUGGAAGUGUCGCAUCCUAUUUUUCUCACGAAAAGAGGGAUUCGACGUGACCACUCUUUUUGGGAUUGUUUUGAGAAAGUUGUGAAGAGUCACUACCUAACGAAUUAAGGUGCGUUAAGGCACCGAUCUAGGCUAACUACAAACCUAUUUUUUUUAUUUUGUCUUAGUUCACCAGAAAUUUGGGUAAGAGUUUAAAUUACCCUAAAAGGAAGGUGUUAGACACCUUUCGAGGUCCACAAAGGUGGUUUUUGGCCGAAUUCGUAUUUUACGUGGGGAUUCUAUAUGAUCAAAUAAAGGUCUUUUAUUUCUAACUUAAUUUAAGUGAUAAAGUAAUGAAUAAACAAACACAUGUUAUUUUAUCAUUUCUAAUUAUUAAUUAUCUAAGUAAUACAAGUCAAUAAAACGUGUGAAUAAGACAAGUGAGGAGAGAGAAGUGACAUAAUUUGUGACAAAAAGAGACUGCUUGCUAAACUAACUACCCCAAAUAAGGAAGCGUGUAAAAUAAACAUAAAAAUAAAGAACAAAUUCAAAAAUCAACCAAAGAAAUUUUUUGGUUUUAUUCGGAUCAGAACUCCAACUUGUUUAAUCCUUAUCCGACCCAUUGUCCAAAUUCUUAAACAAGUAACAAUGUCAAGUUUCAUGUAAUGUCUAUGAAGAUCAUCACUUUCGAAUGACUAUCCGCCCCACCCCACCUAGGCUGGUUGUAAACCUAAAGGCGCACUAAAAAAGAUAAAACUAACGCCUCUAGAAAUACCUAUCAUCCCACCUAUCACCCAAGAGGCAUUGGGCUUUGCUAAUUUAGAUUUGUGAUCUAGACAAAUAAACCAAUGAUUUCUAGGACUCAAAUAGCGUAAAACAUAAAGGACGUCAAGUAGCAUGUAAUGUCUCAAGUUAGCCUCUUGGUUAAUUAAACAGUGAUUGUUUUUGUUUAGUUAAGCCUAUAGACAUGGUAUCUUGAUGUUACACAAGUAUUUAUUGAAAAGUACUGGUCAAAACAUUUAGAACAAUGUUGUAAAAGUUCAUUGAGAAUAAAAAGGCAUGUCAACGUUAAACAAACGUGCGAGAAUAAGAAUGUUAAUUUAUUAUAUAAAAGAUAGUUAAACAUGAUGUCUAAGUGGAAAGAAAUAAAUCAUCCUGUAAUAUGUGAAAGUAAAAAUUAUUUAACAUGGUAAAUAAUUAGUAAGCAAAUAUCAUUUUAGUAUUCCAAAAAAAUGUCCUUAUAUGGUCAAAAGGUAUUGAUCUGAAAGCAAAAGAUUUGAGAAAAAGUAAUAAAAAAACUGAAUGCUUAAUAUAAUCUUUUAAGUUGUAAUUAAAACAGAAACAUAGCUAGAAUUAGUUGAUUGCUGAAAAAAAGUAUAAGAUGUUAAAGAAUCAACAUGUUGAAAAUUUGUUUAAUUGUUGGAAUGUCUUUAAUGUUGGAAAUUGUGUUCCAAUUGUUGGCAAUUGAUUUUAAAGACUGAAAAAUUGAUUGUCAUUUGCUGAAAAUUGUUCUAGAGUGGUGAGAAAUACAACUUAACUGCUGAAAAUUGUUUUAGAAGACAUGAACAUAAUGUUUAGUUGCUGGAGGUUCAUUUUAACAUGCUAGCAAAUGAUGAUUCCCUUUUAAUUGUUGAAAAUAGAUGGGCGCAAGGGAGUUAUGAGAUGUCCAAAGAUUAUUUUGUAUUCACAUAUAACAACACUACAACAAUGGAAAAACGCUCACUUACGAAUAAGGAAGAAAACAUAUCUCAGAAACAAAAGAAAAAACUCAUAUGAACACAAUAAGUCAUAGAGAUGCAUAAAACGAAUAGAGGGCUUAUGACAUCAAGCAUUUUAAGUAAUCAUAAACAUACUCACAUAGAAUGAUAUAAAAGAAACUAAUACAUGGCUAGAGAAAACUAACUGGUUAACAACAUAAUAACAAAAGAAAUUAGAAUUUUCUAAAGUAGACAACAAUUGCAACAACAAACAAGAACCAAUAGUCUCUUAAAGUUGCACCAAAUAAAACUUAGCACUUUGUGUAGAAGAGUGUAGAAGUCAACGACGAUUCUUUCGUAUAGAAAGGAGGAGUGGAUGAUAAGAGGUGUCAUAGAAUGAGAAGGAGGCUCACUUUAUGUAACGCCCCAAUUUUGUACCUCGGAUGCUACACGGCUAACGACCUCAAAGGACCACCAGCUAACCCAUGACUUGUACUAGCUGUGAGAAUUGACUAAUAAUAUCACUGUAAUAAUAAUAUAACUAAAAUAAGUGUGGAAGUUAGGCUGUAAAUGCCAUAAGGUUCAUAAUUGAAAAACUGAAUACUGAAACAUCUAUCUGAAUACUCUAGUUUGAAAGUCUCUAACUGUCUAAAUAAGGAGUUGAUUGGACAAGACCCCAACUAACUCUAACUACUGAAAUACUGAAUUUACUGAAAUAACGAAAUAUAAGUAUAUCCUCGAUAGAUGAGGACUCUUUUUUGUAAUAUAAUACUGCUAACUGAAUCUGGCUAAGUAUGGUCAGGAGCCUGAGCGUCCAAACCUAUGAUAUAAGACAUUAUAGCAUAAGAGAAAGUAUGUGUCAGUACGUAGAAUGUACUGGUAUGCUAGGUGAGGUAAGGCUAAAUGCAAGGGCUCAUAUUCAUGAACAAUAACUGCCUGAGUAACUUGAACAUAACUGAAUGAGAGUACAUGGAUGAAUACAUAAACUAUAACUGAUGUCACGAUAACGCUGGAUAUUGAGUUCUGAGUACUGAUUAAAUGAUAUCUGAGUUGACUCAUACUGUAUUACUGAUAACUGAUUGACUAUUUCUAACAUUCCUGAUUCUGUAGAACUAAUCAGAUGUUCUAUACUGAGCUGGGUGGCUGUGUCUGACAGUCCUAAAUCUAUAGAACUGAACUGAGUUCUAUUACUGAGAUUGAAACUUAAACUGUGGGAGAUAAUCAUUUAACCGACAUGCCCCAAAUAAGAUAACUGAGUUGGAGUCCAAUCUGUAAUCCUAAUUGGAAGGGUGUCAGUACCGUGCCAUGGGUAAAGACAAUGGUUGUGGGGUCAGUCCUAGUUUAGCGGGCAACCCCUGAGAUCAGUUCUAAACUAGCAAGUGAUCCCUGAGUAGGUCAGUCCUAUCUAAUGGGUGACAUCUCAUAAUUUACGCUGGCUACGUAGUUCUAGAACUUAGGGAUUACUUCUAAGGACCCAAUCCUAUCUAACGGGUGUGGCCCCAUUCCUAGGUUCUCUCGGUGCUGAAUCUUACUCCCAACUGAAAGAUACUGAACUAAAAUUGAUCGUGUUAACUGUCUGAACUGAACUGAGUUUACUGAGUUCCAUUGACUGAUGGAAUACUACUGAGUUCUUUUACUGACUGAGUUUACUAAGUUCUGAACUGAAUACUGAACUAAGACUAUGACCGACUAUGGAUUACUACUGUUCGUGACACUACUGAGAUUGUUCUGUAACUACUAUAGCUUUAAGUAAACAGCUAAAUUUUCGGGUAUUAAAUACCCCCAGGACUCGAUAGCAUGAAAAGUAAAUCAUAGCAUAAACUUGAAAAGCAUAACCAUGUGCACUUGUUCAUAACUCAUUCAUAGCGACAAUUUAUCAAACACUUGCAGGGCAUAAGCUUCUACGUAUACAAACAUGUCAUGAUUUCAUCACUUUAUUCACAUGGACAUUAUAUCAAACACUUGGAGAGCACAACUUAAUGCACAUAAUCAUGGUUAGCAUAUAAGCAUGACAAUUAUAAUGCCCAAACUUGCAAAUUCAUGGAUUAAAACAUAGGGAAUACACAAUUCAAUUUAUAUGCUAUUCAAACUUUGUGGACUCUAAAAUUAAUCAUGGAUUGAAACUCAAUUAAUGAUAAGAACAUGAAUACAAUCCAAUCUCAAGCAUGUAAAUCAUGAAUCAUAAAUCUUGAAGUUCUAAAACGGAUUCUUGGACUCUAUGGGUGAAAGAGACCCAUAGAUGAACACCUAACAUACCUUAGUAUUCAAAUUCGGGAGGAUUGGUGGUGUGUCCUUGAAGUUUGAACUUGUAAUUUGAUGCCCUAGGAUUUUGUUCUUGAGCAACUUUGAGAAAGAAUGAAGGAUUUUGCCUUUACAGAGGCUUAAUCUCGUGUUUUGGGGGCUAAUAUAAGGUGGAAAAAAGACUCAUUUACCUCUUUGGACGCGAAAUUAAAAGAGCAAAAAUAGUGCCCAGUGAUGCACAGACCGAUGCGCCGCAUCGAUGGGAUCGACACAAUGGCCGACGCGUCGCGUCCAGUUUGCAUUGAUUCACUGGAAUCGUAAUCUGAAGCUGGAAAAAUUAUUUGCCGAUGCAAUGGUCGACGCGUCACGUUCAGUUCACUUUGAUUCACUGGAAUCACACUCUGAAGCUGGAAAAAAUAUUUGUCAACGCAAUGGUUGA
rnacentral:lncRNA from 1 species